AUGCUGCUCUACACACUCAUUCUGAUCACUGCUUUGUCAGGUUUCAGUGACGGACAGGACAUCACACCAGACCAAACUGAAGUGUAUGAUGUGGAGGGCUCCAAUGUGUCUCUGUCCUGUAAAUAUUCCUCAGCACUGACUUUAUACUGGUAUCGUCAGUAUCCCAGUUCUGCUCCCCAGUUCAUACAGCUCGUUGUAGAUGGAGCAAAAGACGCAGCAAAAUCUAAGCUGGACCCUCGACUGUCUGUUCAACUGGGAGAGAAAAAUCAAGUGAAUAUGUUGAUCUCCUCUGCUGCAGUAACAGACUCUGCACUGUAUUACUGUUUCCGUGUUUCCAAGCUUCUCCGUUACCUGUGUGCACUCUCCUCUGGUCUCCUGUUAUACCUGUCUGUGUAA